rnacentral:rRNA from 1 species
GAUGAACGCUGGCGGCGUGCCUAAUACAUGCAAGUCGAGCGAACGGACGAUACUCUUGCUUUUCUGAUGUUAGCGGCGGACGUGUGAGUAACACGUGGAUAACCUACCUAUAAGACUGGUAUAACUUCGGGAAACCGGCUCUAAUACCGUAUAAUAUUUUGAACCGCAUGGUUCAAAAGUGAAAGACGGUCUUGCUGUCACUUAUAGAUGGAUCCGCGCUGCAUUAGCUAGUUGGUAAGGUAACGGCUUACCAAGGCAACGAUGCAUAGCCGACCUGAGAGGGUGAUAGGCCACACGAGAACUGAGACGCGGUCCAGACUCCUAAGGGAGGCAGCAGUAGGGAAUCUUCCGCAAUGGGCGAAAGCCUGACGGAGCAACGCCGCGUGAGUGAUGAAGGUCUUCGGAUCGUAAAACUCUGUUAUUAGGGAAGAACAUAUGUGGAAGUAAAUGUGCACAUCUUGACGGUACCUAAUCAGAAAGCCACGGCUAACUACGUG